rnacentral:tRNA from 1 species
UCCUCGGUAGCUCAAUGGUAGAGCGCUCGGCUGUUAACCGAGUGGCUGCAGGUUCGAGUCCUGCCCGGGGAGCCA